GUUCCUACGGGGCGCAGCAGUGGGGAAUAUUGCACAAUGGGGGAAACCCUGAUGCAGCGACGCCGCGUGAGUGAAGAAGUAUUGCGGUAUGUAAAGCUCUAUCAGCAGGGAAGAUAAUGACGGUACCUGAGUAAGAAGCCCCGGCUAACUACGUGCCAGCAGCCGCGGUAAUACGUAGGGGGCAAGCGUUGUCCGGAAUUACUGGGCGUAAAGGGCGCGUAGGUGGGCGCUUAAGUCAGGUGUGAAAACUCCGGGCUCAACCUGGAGACUGCACUUGAAACUGGGUGUCUUGAGGGCAGGAGAGG
rnacentral:rRNA from 1 species